CGUUCCGGAGCCGCCAUGUCGUCCGACUUCGAAGGUUACGAGCAGGACUUCGCGGUGCUCACUGCAGAGAUCACUAGCAAGAUUGCGAGGGUCCCACGACUCCCGCCUGAUGAAAAGAAACAGAUGGUUGCAAAUGUGGAGAAACAGCUUGAAGAAGCGAAAGAACUGCUUGAACAGAUGGAUUUGGAAGUCCGAGAUAUACCACCCCAAAGUCGAGGGAUGUACAGCAACAGAAUGAGAAGCUACAAACAAGAAAUGGGAAAACUCGAAACAGAUUUUAAAAGGUCACGGAUCGCCUACAGUGACGAAGUACGGAAUGAGCUCCUGGGGGAUGAUGGGAAUUCCUCAGAGAACCAGGUAGAAUGCUAAUCAGGAAGGCCCGGUGGGUGGCUGGAGGGUGAAGGAGGUCACUGGCGCACUGGGCUCUCAAGCUGCUCCUUAACGGUAUUAGCAGCAACUCAUGUGGAAGCGAUACUGUUUAAUGCAAAGCUGGAGUCUUAAUCAACUUCAAAAUGUUUCUUGGAGAUCUUACAUUUAACCCUUUACCUUGUGAUCACUGUCUGCUAUCUUUUAAAAAAAUCUUUUCUUCUCUUUUCUU
rnacentral:sRNA from 1 species